CUCCUAUUAGUGCAAAGCAGUCUUGCUGUUUUCUUCUGGUCUCCACUACAAUAUUUUCCUUUUUGGACAUUUCUCUAAACCUUAGAUGGCGGUGUUGGGAAACCAGUAGAGCAGUUUCUGAAAUAUCCAGACCAACCUGUCUGGCAUCAAACUUUAGCAGGCUGUGUUAACGUGUGCAUUUUAAAGCAAUUGAAAGUGAACCUAAUAAAGUGGCCACCUUUUACUGAAACCUUACGAUCAUGAGACGACACUUUUAACCCACCCAACUGCUUCACUUUGGAAAUUUUGGGGUGUGAGGAGGGGUUGCCACUGUAGCUGUACCUUCUUAGCUUUUCACUGCACUGUAGUACUGAGGUUGGAGUAGUUUAGAUACAAUAUUUGAAAGUGCUGAACUUCAAAUGUGUUUAAAAAAAAAAAAAUGCUAAUCUAUUUUCAGGUUUCUUCUGCAGGAGGUUGAGGUAUAAUUGGGGCACAGUUCAGGUGCUGACUUGAAUGUUCCAACACAAAGAGCAGCGCAAGGCUUGAAGGAAGAAGCCUGGUCUAGAGUAUUGAUUUCUUUUUCUUUCUCCCCUUCCUUUUUAUUUUUUAUCUCAUGCUCCACUUGAGGCUGACGGUCGCUGAUGAAAUGGCCUGCUUUGAAGUGCGCUUCCCUACAGAGCAGCCACCUCACACUGCCCGACUGUCAUUUUAGGGGCACUGCAAGGACGUAGAUGGGAGCUGCUUUAUAAGCCAGUUGCUUUUUUUUUUCUUCUCUCUUCCCCCUUUUGUAAAGAAAGCAUUUCUGAAGUAUCCACUGUUUUUUGGGGGGAGUGGGGUUUCAGCACACUGCUCAGUUUAAUGAAAACAAUAUUUAUGGCAUGCUCAAUCAUGUAGUCAUUCUAGCUCUCUGUUUGGCUCCAGCAGAUAAGAAGGCUGCUCUUUGAGCUCCUUAUAAAGCUUCCCCUCCGAUAUUUACGGUUCCAUUAGCCUGCGUGCGCGAGCAGAAAUGUCUUUCCCUGAAAGGAGUCGUGUUUUUUUUUUUUUUUUGUUUUGUUUUAAAAGCAGUGUCAAUAUUAAGAUUUCAUGACACUUCUCUGGUUUGUGGAUCUUUGCUGGAAACGGAUGAUGUGUGAGGGAGCUUUGGCUGAGCGACGGCGUGCUUGGUUUUUAUCUGACAUGUUAGCGGCUCUUCUCGCAGCUGAAACUGGUCUUAUCGUGGCACUACAAAUGAUUUUGAACUGUGUGCAGUGAUUACAUGCUGCUAGUGAAAACAGGAUUAGGCUUCAGCAGUUAACGGGCGUCACAGACGAGUUGGUGUGAGUUUAUAGCACGUUGUGCUUUUAGUUGUUUGACAUAAAGAAAUGCAUUUUCAGUGGGUUUCCUCCAGCUGUGCACUGAAUCAGCAGUGUUUUGGCAGGUGCAGAAAAUUGCAUCGACUUCUCUUUGAAUGCUCAUUCAAAGAUUUCAUUCAGAUCGCAAGAUGAAGCACAAAGGACUAAAAAUUAGCUUUUUGACUUUGACGGGGAUACCGUGU
ensembl:lncRNA